AUCCAACUGACGAGUCUCAAACAGGGCGAAACAAGAGUACUGGAU
rnacentral:hammerhead_ribozyme from 1 species